rnacentral:rRNA from 1 species
CGUAGGUGGCAAGCGUUGUCCGGAUUUACUGGGCGUAAAGGAUGCGUAGGCGGAUUUUUAAGUGAGAUGUGAAAUACCCGGGCUUAACUUGGGUGCUGCAUUUCAAACUGGAAAUCUAGAGAGCGGGCGAGGAAAGUGGAAUUACUAGUGUAGCGGUGAAAUGCGUAGAGAUUAGGAAGAACACCAGUGGCGAAGGAGACUUUCUGGACCGUAACUGAAGAUGAGGCAUGAAAGCGUGGGUAGCAAACAGGAUUAGAUACCCUGGUAGUCCACGCCGUAAACGAUGAGUACUAGGUGUAGGAGGUAUCGACUCCUUCUGUGCCGCAGUUAACACAAUAAGUACUCCGCCUGGGAAGUACGAUCGCAAGAUUAA